ensembl:snRNA U6 U6 spliceosomal RNA
GUGCUUGCUUCAGCAGCACAUAUACUAAAAUUGGAAUGAUACAGAGAAGAUUAGCAUG